rnacentral:lncRNA from 1 species
UAACUUUUGAUAAUCGAUUUGGUUUCCGGUAAUACCAAAAAAAAUAUUAUAAAAUAAAUAAAAAAUUUACAAAAAAUAACUUACGGCUUUAUUGGUCUUAUCUUAUCUCAAUAAUUAGCCAAUUUCGAAUCCUCACUCCUCUUUCUCAAUCUCACAGUCACAUUCACGACACAGACUGAUAUGAAACCUAUAUCUAAUUGAUUCUCCCAUCUUCUCAAUCGUCUUCAAUCUUCUUUUCAAUCUGGUCGCCUUCUUCAAUCUUCUCCGAGUCACGGACUCUCGUCGGUUUUUGCUGUCAUCGAUCCCCUGCUCGAAGUUUUAACAUGAUGUUGACAUUAGUUCCCAACUCCGACGUUGUAGAAAAAAGUCGCUGGUCGAGGCCGUAGCACAAACUCGACGUCGACUCCUGACCAGUUGCAGAGGAGCACAUGUCCCACCUCUGACUCAUCGACACCAGUUCACCAUUUAUUUCCAUACUCGACAACUCAUCUUGGGUCUCCGAUCUCCGACUUGUCAACACCAGUUCACCUCUGAUUUCCAAACUCGCCAACUCCAUCACCGAUACCAGUUCACCUCCAAUUUCCAGACUCGUCGACUCAUCGAGCAAAGGCAUUAUGUAAGUUUUUGAACCCUGAUUGAAAUUGAUUUGCAAAUCGCAAUUGACAUUGAAAUUGUUUGAAAUUGAAACUAUUUGUAGUUGUAGACUUGGUAACAGAAGGUAUCGUUUUGGUAGUUGUAACAGAAGAUAGUUGUUCUUUCCACAACCGUAUUGUUUUGAUUUGCAAAUGACAAUUGUAUAGCUAAUUUGACAGUAUUGUUCUUUUUGUUUUUGGUUCCAAGCUAUGGUGGAUACAAGAUUGUUUUGAAUAAAAUUAAUAUCUCAUUAUUUAUCGAACAAUUGAUUUCAGAUCAGGAAUAGCUGCUCCUAGUACAACUAUAGAGUCAACUGGUUCAGCUCCUAAAAGGAGUUAGCCUAAUAAGAAAAGGUCAUUGUAUUGGAUUCAUAUGAGUGUGUUGUAGAUGAAAACAUGCUGGAGAAAGCUAAGUGCAAAUACUGCAAGACUCUCAUAUGUGCCAACCGGCCAGUAAUGGAACAUUCAGGUUAAAAGCACACUACAAUAGGUGUUCUAAAAGGUUUGAUGAUGACCAAAUGGUUUUAAAUCUCCAAGGAACUAGAGGAGAUGGUGUGCAAGGGAUUCAGUUUGAGGAUUGAUGCGUGUGUUGUCAAAUCUCAAUUGGUUAUCAGAUGUCUCUUUCCUUGUGUUUUUGGAUAUCUAGUAUUUACUAUGAUGGAUUUUGGAUUGAUGGAUUGUGUUGGUGGUUGAACAUGAACACUUAGAAUGUUAUGUUGAAAGUAAUGAAGCAAGUUCUUUUGAGACGAAAAAAAAUCUAACAAAUUUCUAUUCAAGACAGCCAAGCAAGAAUAAGAAGGGAAACAAUAUUAAACAUAAACCAAAAUCCAUCCAACUCACAUAAAUCAUCAAAGUCAAACAAUC